CCGAGUUAUACAACUCAUCAACCCUGUGAACAUACCUAAAACGUUGCCUCGGCGGGAACAGACGGCCCUGUAACAACGGGCCGCCCCCGCCAGAGGACCCCUAACUCUGUUUUUAUAAUGUUUUUCUGAGUAAACAAGCAAAUAAAUUA
rnacentral:misc_RNA from 1 species